UGCAUGUCUAAGUACAUACCUAGAAAUGGUGAAACCGCGAAUGGCUCAUUAAAUCAGUUAUGGUUUACGAGAUAUUACUUUUACUACAUGGAUAACUGUGGUAAUUCUAGAGCUAAUACAUGCAAGAAGCUCCGAACCUUGCGUCGAGCGAGGGAACGAGCGCUUUUAUUAGACCAAUCAAAACGGGGCCCCGUUGAUCACUGACCAAUGGGUGUCUUCGGAAAAGAUUGGGUGACUCUGGAUAACUAAUCUGAUCGCACGGGCUUGUCCCGGCGACGUAUCUCUCAAGUGUCUGCUCUAUCAACUGUCGAUGGUAGGUUAUGCGCCUACCAUGGUUGUAACGGGUAACGGGGGAUCAGGGUUCGAUCCCGGAGAGGGAGCCUGAGAAACGGCUACCACAUCCAAGGAAGGCAGCAGGCGCGCAAAUUACCCACUCCCGGCACGGGGAGGUAGUGACGAAAAAUAACGAUACAAGACUCUUUUGAGACCUUGUAAUUGGAAUGAGUACAAUCUAAACACUUUAACGAGGAUCUAUUGGAAGGCAAGUCCGGUGCCAGCAGCUGCGGUAACUCCAGCUCCAAUAGCGUAUAUUAAAGUUGUUGCGGUUAAAAAGCUCGUAGUUGGAUCUAAGUCUUGGACGGGCGGUCUACUUCGAAACGAGGUAGUUUCACUGCCCGAUUUUCCGGACAUUUUUCGUCGGUUUCUCUUGAUGAUCUUCACCGGUUGUCUCGGGAACACCGACAGGUUUACUUUGAAAAAAUUAGAGUGCUCAAAGCAUGCGUGACGCAUGAAUAAUGGUGCAUGGAAUAAUAGAAUAGGACCUCGGUUCUGUUUUGUUGGUUUUUGGACCCCGAGGAAAUGAUUAAGAGGGACUGACGGGGGCAUUCGUAUUGCGACGCUAGAGGUGAAAUUCUUGGACCGUCGCAAGACGAACUACAGCGAAAGCAUUUGCCAAGAAUGUUUCCAUUAAUCAAGAACGAAAGUUAGAGGUUCGAAGGCGAUCAGAUACCGCCCUAGUUCUAACUAUAAACGAUGCCAGCCAGCGAUCCGUCUGUGUUCCUCAAAUGACACGACGGGCAGCUUCCGGGAAACCAAAGCUUUUGGGUUCCGGGGGAAGUAUGGUUGCAAAGCUGAAACUUAAAGGAAUUGGCGGAAGGGCACCACCAGGAUUGGGGCCUGCGGCUCAAUUUGACUCAACACGGGUAAACUUACCCGGCCCGGACACAUUAAGGAUUGACAGAUUAAGAGCUCUUUCUUGAUUAUGUGGGUGGUGGUGCAUGGCCGUUCUUAGUUGGUGGAGCGAUUUGUCAGGUUAAUUCCGAUAACGAACGAGACUCUAGCCUACUAAAUAGGCGUUCCGAUCUCCUGACAGUCGGACGCAUUCUCUUCUUAGAGGGACAAGCGGCGUUUAGCCGCAUGAGAAAGAGCAAUAACAGGUCUGAGAUGCCCUUAGAUGUCCGGGGCCGCACGCGCGCCACAUUGAAGGAAUCAGCGUGUGCUUACCCGUUCCGACAGGGUCGGGUAACCCGUUGAACCUCCUUCGUGCUGGGGAUAGAACCUUGUAAUUAGUUCUUGAACGAGGAAUUCCCAGUAAGCACGAGUCAUCAGCUCGUGUUGAUUACGUCCCUGCCCUUUGCACACACCGCCCGUCGCUAGUACCGAUUGAGUGAUUAAGUGAGGUCUUCGGACUGGCCUUCGAAUUGGGUUCGUAAGAGCUUGAAACGGAGUGCCGAGAAGAUGACCAAACUUGAUCCCUUAGAGAUACUAAAAG
rnacentral:rRNA from 1 species